GACGAACGCUGGCGGCGUGCUUAACACAUGCAAGUCGAACGGAAAGGCCCUGCCUUGGUGGCGUGCUCGAGUGGCGAACGGGUGAGUAACACGUGAGUAACCUGCCCUUGACUGUGGGAUAACUUCAGGAAACUGGGGCUAAUACCGGAUAGGAGCUCCUGCUGCAUGGUGGGGGUUGGAAAGUUUGGGGGGGUGGGGAUGGACUCGCGGCUUAUCAGCUUGUUGGUGGGGUAGUUGCCUACCAAGGCUUUGGCGGGGAGCCGGGCCUGGGGGGUGAACGGGCCACAUUGGACCUGGGAUAGGCCCCGACCUCCUACGGGAGGAAGAAGUGGGGAUUAUUCACCAUUGGGCGGAGGCCGGAGGCAGAACCGCGGCGUGCGGGAUGACGGCCUUCGGGUGGAAACCCGUUUUCGCAUGUGACGAAGCGUUUGUGACGGUACCGGGUAAAGAAGCACCGGCUAACUACGUG
rnacentral:rRNA from 1 species